rnacentral:rRNA from 1 species
CACGCCGCGGGAAGACAGAGGAUGGAAGCGUUAUCCGGAAUGAUUGGGCGUAAAGCGUCUGUAGGUGGCUUUUCAAGUCCGCCGUCAAAUCCCAGGGCUCAACCCUGGACAGGCGGUGGAAACUACCAAGCUGGGGUACGGUAGGGGCAGAGGGAAUUUCCAGUGGAGCGGUGAAAUGCGUUGAGAUCGGAAAGAACACCAACGGCGAAAGCACUCUGCUGGGACGACACUGACACUAAGAGACGAAAGCUAGGGGAGCAAAUGGGAUUAGAUACCCCUGUAGUCCCUGUCUCUUAUACAC